CAAAUAUGGAAGUCUCUGGAGAGACUUUCAUGAUCGUGAUGCAUUUUCGGACAAAUGUGUUGCUAUGUGCUCAUCCCGACUUCGAUUGGCUGGGGGGUAUUGAAGUUGAAGUGCAUCAUGAUCAACCGGACGUAAAGAGCGUUGUAUGAAGUCUCCCGUUCGUCUGCCUGGUUUCUCGUCAUCGCUGUUCGUCUGCCUGGUUUCUCGUCAUCGCUGUUCGUCUGCCUGGUUUCUCGUCAUCGCUGUUCGUCUGCCUGGUUUCUCGUCAUCGCUGUUCGUCUGACCCUGGAACCCCGUCCACUCUUCACCACCGGAUGCCACUACUCACCACCACGGACUGCUCAUCUCAGGCCUGUGUCACGCUCUCCUGCUGCCUCAC
ensembl:lncRNA